CUGGAUGCGUCCUAGUUUGCCUCUCAAAUCAAUCAGGUGGUCACUGCUGCAAAGGAACUUUGCCUUGAUGAUAAAAACAUUCUGUUGCCAACAAUCCAAAAAGAAGCAGGUACAAAUGCGAUGUUUGUUCAUAACUUACUGACCCCAUUUUGCGGUUCACAAUUCUUUUAGAAAAUUUGGAAACUCGGAUCACUAAAAUCAUGUGUUUUUAGUAACAAGCAAGGAAUUCGACCAAGUGUCUCCGAGGCGCCAAAUCAGCUGGACAUCAUCUAACUCAUUGACAGUUCUUUUUUAAUAAAGCAUAAAAAAUAAAUAAUAAA